rnacentral:rRNA from 1 species
UACGAAGGGUGCAAGCGUUACUCGGAAUUACUGGGCGUAAAGCGUGCGUAGGUGGUUUGUUAAGUCUGAUGUGAAAGCCCUGGGCUCAACCUGGGAAUUGCAUUGGAUACUGGCAGGCUAGAGUGCGGUAGAGGAUGGCGGAAUUCCCGGUGUAGCAGUGAAAUGCGUAGAGAUCGGGGAGGAACAUCUGUGGCGAAGGCGGCCAUCUGGACCAGCACUGACACUGAGGCACGAAAGCGUGGGGGAGCAAAACAGG